UCAGAUUCUCCAGCAUCUGCAGUUCCUACUAUCUUUGAUGCUUUUAUUUAUUUGUUCUGUAUCAUCUAUCUUUGUUUUUGUAAAAAAAAAAUCCUUUCCUGUACUGAGGUGCUUGGAGGUAGAUAGUAGGAGUAAAGCUCAGUAAAAGAGCUUUCUCCAUGACAUGCUGAAAGAUUUAUGAUUCUAUUUGUUGGCUUGAAUCCAAAUGAGCAGUUAGCUUAGUGACAGAUGUGCUCAUUGUUAGACUUUUGAACUAAACAUGAUGCUUCAAUGCUUUUUCUCAGCCCUAUGUAGAAAAUUGCUUUGCUUCACCUCUGUUCAGAGGAACUACUUUCAAUUAGCAAAUUGCCUUGGAAUGCGAUCUAGCCGACUUGGAUAACUACAUUGAAAUGGUGCAGUUCGGUGUUAGUAAUGUGAACCGGUUACAGCAGCAAUUUCACACCAGUGUUAGUUUAUUUUUAUCACUGGUACUUCACAAUACAAAACAACUCAAGACAACUAGUAUGGUAUUGACAUCUUUCUCAGUGUAAUGUGAAUGUUUUGUCCUUCUUAAACCAGAGUCUGAUAUUGGCUGAGUUGAUAAAAUGUGGAGCUGAAGAAGCACAGCAAGUCAGACAGCAUCGGAGGAGCAGGAAAGUCAAUAUUAUAGGUCUGGACCCUUCAUCAGGACCGGCCCAGUCCUGAUGAAGGGUCCAGACCUGUAACAUCGAUUUUUCCUGCCCCUCUGAUGCUGUCUGACCUACGGGGCUUCUCCAGCUCCACGUUUUAUCCACUCUGACUUCCAGCAUCCGCAGUCCUUACUAUCUCUAAUAUUGGCUGAAAUUACUUCUGAACCUGGCUUUCUGGUUUCCUAUAGGUGCUGCAUUUGAACUUGGAAAAUAGAACACUUUAUUUAGUUUGGGAGGUGUUCAAAAGAUCUGAUCUUCAGUUUUCUAGGUAGAGAAAUGAUUUGUUGCAGCAAAAACAUUUGUAAGAAAAGAUUAGACUAUACUUUAAUUCUAUUUAUCCUCCUUUGUCUAAGGACUGAUGAAUAUGAUGAUAGCAUUAAGUCAUUGUAAAGGACAAUUUAAAGUGAUUGCAGUUGUCUCUUAACCAAUUUUGCUGGUUCCUAUGAAACAUGAUUGAAAUAAUUGUUUUCUUCUGGUCACUUCAAUUUGGUGUAGAAAGUUGUUGAGGAGCUUUCCAUUUUCAUACUCUAAAAGGUGGUUAAGCAUGAUAUGAUUGUGCUAUUGAGCUAGAAACAAAGCAGAACAUUUCAUUUCCAAAAACCCAUCUCUGUACUGUUCCAGAAAGAUAGUUGCAUAUUUCACCAGCAACUAGGACAUUGUGUUACGGAUGCAAUUUGUUGUAUGUACACCAAUGGUUAAAAUGGAAUUUAAGAGAAGAUUGGAUGUUUGCCUUGCAGGGUGAAACUUCUUUCUCCCAGUAGAAGCAGUAUGGCCUGGUGUGCUUUUGUUGGUGUCAGAACAUCAUGGUCCCAAAUAAAGCCUUGAGCACAUAAUCUGGACUUGUGUUUCAGUGAAGUACUGAGGGACUGCUGUACUUUCAAAGGUGCAGCCCUUCAGAUGAGACAUUAAGUUGUGGCUCUAUCUGUCUGUGUCAGGCAGAUAUCAAAGAUACCAUGGUAUCAUUCCACAACUAUCAUUAGAUGGGCACAGCAUUUAUCUUAUUACUGUUCAUUGAUCUUGCUGUAUGCAAAGUGGCUGUCUCAUUUGCCAAAAUAAAUGUGAAUGUAUUUCAAUGUAAUUCAGUAGAUAUGAAGUAUUUUAAGGUAUUCCAGGGAUAUGAAGACUGAAAUGUAAAUGCGGAUUAUUUCAUACUGGAGGAAACAAUAGUUAGUUUCAUUAUAUUUGAAGAUCUAUUUUUGUUUCAAAAAUAAUUUUAAUUAGUAGUGAAAUAGUCAAUCCCAGGCCUUGUGAGACGUGAUGUUAGAAUAUCCAUUUGUUGAGAAGAGGAUUUUUUUUUUAAAAUGUGUUUGACUUUUUUAAAAGCUAUCUAUUCAAUAACAGUGAGUAAGGAAUUUAGUCCUCAGAUUGAGUUCACCUGGCUCAUCAAAAAGAACAGGGGACUAAUUAGAGAUAGCUGUUUUCAAAGGGUUAGCAUUGGCAUGAUAGGUAAAGUGUCCUCCUUCUGUGCUGUAUAAUACUUUCUCCACUUUGCAUUUAUAUAUUCACUUUAAAAUAUGGGUUUGUAACUAUUAACAUAUUGGGGAUUACCUUGGUAUUUCUUUUGGAGUUGACCGGCAAAGUAACAACUUGGGAAGUUGGUGUGAGUGUGAAGAACUAGUUGAUUGGAGUGUGGAGUAGGGUGGAAACAAAAGCACCAUGGGAAGGCAGCAGCAAUGGUUUGGAUCUCAGCUGGUUAGAGAGUUGGACUUGCAGUUCAGAUUAUCUGGACCACAGUAACUACUGGUGAACAAACCUUGAACAGUAAGUGUGCAAGUCCUGAGCAGAGGGCAAACAAAUUCUAAUGGUCUUAAUUCUUCAGUAUUGGCAAAUGUAAUACAAUGUGCAUUUUACAUGUACAACGUUAGUAUUUAGUUCUUGGUCAGUGUAACUGCAACAUUCUUAAGCUGCUGAUGAGGCAAGAAUGUGACUUUAGCUUUUAUUGUGAUAUAGACAUGAAAUAAGGGUUAAGUAUAAUUCAUGAUCAUCCAUCAAACUGCACUUUUUUAACAUGCUAAAUAACCAACAUAGAUACAGUUUAUCUUAAUAUCUUGCAUCCUUUGCAUAUAAGCACUUUUUCUACAUAAGUAGCUAUUUGUGGCUGUGCUAAUGGUUGUAGAAUGAUCGUAAUUUAUUGAGUGGUUGGGUGCAUAGUUUCUCCGAGAGGAGCAGAACUUGUGGAGAAACAGUAAAAUGAAAGAAAGUUGUAAACAAUCUGAACCUGAACUGUGUUUCUGAUUUUGCUGAGGGCUGGCACUCUAGGUAUUAGUACAGUGAAUUUUACAAUGUUUUGAUGUUCAAGCAACAGUUUUACUUUAGUUUUCUGUUUUAAAUAAUUGUAGAAUAAUUUUAGAACUGUAAAAAUAGUAAGAUGUUUCAUUGUUUCAAUAGAUUCCAAACUGUAGAACUUUUUUUUAUAGUAUGAUUAUUUAAGAGGCGCUGUCUUUCAGUUCUGCAGCCUCAGUUUAAAAAGUACUUAAAUACUUGUUACCAAAUUUUUGAUGUAAACUUUUCACAUCUGAACAACUUUUUAAUAAAACAUUAAGCCGAUUUUAAGAGUGCCUCUGUCAUCUUUUAGAAAGUGAGUAGCAUUCCAGUGUGGCUCUGCAGAAUCCUCUACAGCCAGAACAAUUCUUGUGAGCAGUUGUGUAUUAAAUGCUGAGUUGACAGCAGCAUCUCUGGGUACUGGUACAUGAAUUUGUUAUCAGAUGCAUUCAUUUAUUGUGAAAUAUUUGAUUGGGGAUAUUUUGUAUAACUAAGUUGAUAAUCUCAAAACAGACUUCACAACUUUCAAUUUUGAACAUUAGAAUCUAUGAAGGAGCAUUUAUUUUUAAAAUAAAUUACUAUGGCACUGUUACUGAUAUUCUUUUGUAGGAAUAUCUUUAACAUAGCUUAAUCUAUUUCAUUAGAAGGAAGGGGAAGAAACCUGCUGAUAUUUAUAAAAUUAUUUAAAUACUAGAUGCUCUUCUACUGAAGAUGCUCAUGAUAGGUUAGUUGCCAUACUGUUUUAUAAUGAGACCAUUACGCCACUUAAUGCAUAAUUUUCUGGCCUAUUCCCCUCCCUCGCUACUUUAAGGCCGCAAGAUCAAUUUUCUGUAUAUAGGCACAUCUAGAAGUCAGUUGCUGUUGCUAAGGGAAGUUUGACAAUCAGCAGAUCCUUGCAAAUUUCUCGUUUCCAGUGGAAAAUGCCUGUUUGUUUCCCUUUAGUUUUGUAAUACAUCUGAUAUUUGGAAACGUGAUGGAAAUGUGCUGGAUGCAUUUUUUUUUUCUGUGUACAUGCGUGUUUGCAUGCAUAUGUACUUACUAAAGGCCUUUAGAAAAUGAGAGUUUUGGAAUAAAUGCUUCCAAAUAUAUCACUUAAGUUUUAAUUUCUAAUUUAGUUUCUGAAUUUUCAGUACUAAUUUUAUAUUUGCAUACAUUUUAUUUUAAGGAUGUCUCUCCCAAUUUUUAAAUUUAGUAGCAGCCUGCUUUCAAAGCUUGUUCUAUAUACGCUUUACUCAAUCUUUGGUCAUGAUUGUCUGUUUAAUGCUUUUUGUAUGCAUGCUCUAAAGUAAAGCCCCAUAUGUGUUUUAAGAGCUUUAUCAGUCUGUGCCUUCUGCGUAGUGUAAUUGUAAUAACAUUUAAGGUUGAUCCACUGGUUUUAAACUAAAUAGCUGGUUUGUAUUUUUGCACCCACAUGCAAGAAAAUCUUUUAAAACCAGGAUUCUCUUUGCUCCUGCCGAGCCCUUACUCUGUAUUCUAGUUCCACUGACAUGAUUUUUACAGUGCUGUUCUAACUAUUGCCCUUCCAGCCUAAGAUCAUUCCAAAUGCAAUAUGUGGAAUUUGUCUAAAGGGUAGAGAAUCCAACAAGAAAAACAAACCUGAGGCACUCAUACACUGCUCCCAGUGUGACAAUAGUGGUCAUCCGUCCUGCUUGGAUAUGUUGUCGGAGUUGGUGGCUGUAAUAAAAACCUAUCCAUGGCAGUGUAUGGAAUGCAAGACGUGCAUAGUGUGCGGCCAGCCACAUCACGAGGAAGAGAUGAUGUUCUGUGAUCAGUGCGACCGAGGGUAUCACACCUUCUGUGUCGGAGUUGCUUCCAUCCCCUCAGGUCGUUGGAUUUGUGCGUGCUGUGCGAAUGUUCCUUCCACAGCUAAGAAAAGGGGACGGAAAGCAAAAAAUACCAAAGAAGGGUAAAGCUACAACAUUAGAACCAAUCCAAGAAAAUGUGUGGCCAGAUUAAAGUUCUUAUCAAAGCUUUGGUUGACUGGGAAUAUCAGGUGCUUACAUGAUAUCAAUGUGUUUUAUAAAUAUCAUUUACAUUAUUUGUAUGAAAAAUUAUUUUGAAACAAAUAAAAUGACAGAAUGAA